CCUUGCUGGGGCAUGCUAGCUACAGGUGCAAAAUGUCUACCAUAUAAACACGCUAAAAUUAUAUUUUUGUUUUCAUAAAGAGAAUAGCUGCAAUAACAGAUGUCCAAAACUGGUAUUCGAUUAACUUAGUGGUCUGAGCAGACAGUGUCCGUGACAGUGAACUAAUGUGCAGGCUGCAACUUCGAAUCACAGAACAACAUGAUACAGAGUGAAAAGCAAAGACAUAAUGGUGAUGAGGAGGUUGUCAAAGAACUGUGUAUUGCCAAUGGGGUGUCUUAUGAGAAGAUACCCCAGGAAGGUAGCAGCAUCACAGCCCUGGAGGUGUUCUUCUCAGGUUAUCCUCGUAUGGUUGGCCUCUCCCUUUUUCCAAAGCUGUGCCAGCUCACAUUGGUAGGCCAGAGUAUCAGUCACAUCAAGGGCCUUGAGUCCUGUCCCCUGCUUCGGGAGUUCUGGGUGGUGGAAUGCCAGCUGACAGACAUUUCUGGACUUCAGAAUUGCCAUCAGUUACAGAAGCUGUACCUCUAUGACAAUCAGAUCAGUAAGAUUGAGAAUUUGGAGUCACUUGUCAAUCUACAGGUGCUGUGGCUUAACAAUAACUUCAUCACUCACAUAGAGGGAUUAAACAGACUUAAAAAGCUGAGAGAGCUGAAUCUAGCUGACAAUAACAUUGAGAAGAUAGGACACAGUCUUGAUCCUAAUAUCAGCAUUGAAAAUCUGAAUUUAUCUGGGAACAAGAUCUGCUCUUUUAAGGAGCUGACCCUCCUGGCCCCAUUGACCUGUCUGAGAGUGUUGGGACUGAAGGACCCCCAGUCAAGUCCCACCCCAGUAUGUCUGCUGUGUAACUAUGCUACCCACGUGCUCUACCACAUGCCAGGCCUCCAGCGGCUUGACACCUACGACGUCUCCAGCAAGCAUUUGAAGGACGCUGCUGAGUCCACUGUGAUUAAGAAGAUGAUGUACUACAACAUGCGUGUGCGGACAGCCCAGAGGAACCUGGCAGAGACCCAGGCCAAUCUGCUGGAGAACAAGAGGAAUCUCUUACAGCUGCCAGAGGACCGCAUCAGAGCUCUCAAUUAUGCCCUCAAAAACCUGGAGUGUGAGCUGUCGGAGGUGCAGGCCCUGUGCAGGAAGUCGGCCCGUACCUGGGAGGAUGGACUGUCACCGCUGAGUGAGGGCUCAGGGGACCGCAGUGACACCCUUGCUGACAUCACCCGCGACCCCGGCCUGGAACACAAGAUCCUCUCCAAGCUGGACACCCUGAAGGAGAGGUUGCAAUUUUGGAACAGGAAGCUGGAGGAGAUUGAGUCCUGGUACCAGCGGGACUUGGCCCAAGCCACCAAAAGGAACGAGAUGAUGGUCUACUUUCUGCUGAUGGAGCUUGAGACAGUGGGGAAUAUUCGGUUUGAAGAGGGCUGCUCCACAGACCCUUGGUUCACUUCCUGUUAUGACCUCCUGCUCUCCCGGUUCUGUGCGUGGGACUACAAGGCUCAUGGCAUCACUGGCAUCAAGAUCAACCGUAUCAUCCGCAUCCAUAACCGUUCGCUGCGGCUUCGUUUUGAGGACAAGCUUCAUACCCUGUUGGCCAGCGAAGAGUCGACAAUGUUCUCACAGAAUUACAAACGCUGGCUGGAGUACCUGUUCUAUGUGUCUGAUCCUGAAAGAACCAGUGAGAAGAAUGAGAUGUUGCACAUUCCAGAGGACGGCUUUAAAACAGCAGAUAUGUAUAAGGCCCUGGGCAGAGAGAGAGCUGUACCCUUGUCUAACAGCCUGAGUGUGACGGACAGCCCCAGGAUUGAGUACACACAGCGACAGGCCAACCAAGGCACCUCCAAGCGGAGCAUAGACCCUCUUCUUUUCAGACAUGGUCAGCUCAUAGUGUCCAAAGUGUUCCUGGGCCGCAGCUUCCCCAUCCAUGAAGGGGAUUCAGUGGACGCCCUCAACUACCCCAAAGCUCACUCUGUUUACCGCAAUGUGAGCCCAGAGCAGGUCCAUAGGACAAAUGGAGAGAGGCCUUGCUCCUCCAAUAUCCACAGUGGCUGUGACUGCAGUCUGAGACAGAGUCAGUGGUUUGUAUUUGACCGUGAGCUUGUCCUGCCGGAGUACCUCAUCGACUUUGAGUAUAUCACGCAGGACCGAGCCCAGCCUGCGUUCCCAGAGCCCAGCAGCAGAGGCACAGACAACCCCCCUCCCAACGAUAUCAACCUGGACGAAGAGACUCUAAACAUGGAGCCCAUGCUCAAACCGCGUCCCAAGCUGCUGUGCCUGGACGAGAAGACUUUACUCAAUGUAGCCAGGGCCAACGUCCUCAGUCAGAUUACAGUGUUGAAUCUCCAUGGCAACAGCCUGAGUAAACUGAAGGAGAUCUCUCGUCUGACAGCCCUGCGCCGCCUGACUAUCAGCUUCAAUGAGUUUACACAACUAGAUGACAUCUCCCACAUGCCCAACUUGGAGUUUGUGGACGCCAGCUACAACCACCUGCUGACCCUGGAGGGGCUGAGGGGGCUGGGGCGGCUCAAUCAACUGGACCUGCGCUGGAACCAGCUGACCCGCGCUAGGGAGGAGACGGCUGUGCUCCGGAAACAUGCCCCCACCCUGUUGAGACUGGACACCCGCCACAACCCCUGGCAUAGGCCCGAGGCGGUAAGGAUGACUGUUCUGGGACGUCUGAUUAGCCUUACACACCUGGAUGACAUGCUGGUGACAGAGGAAGAGGCAGGCGUUGCUGUUCAGAUGGCUGCAGGCUCCAGAAUCAGCCAGGCAUCUCUGCUGGCCCACUCCCGGACGGACAGUGAGCGUCCCCGCAGUCUCAGCCUGCUCUCUGCAGCCCAGCUCCUGGAUCAACUCAGCCCCUCGCCCUGGGACAUCACUGGAGACCUAGAGCAAGGUUGGACCACCAAGAUCACAGCCCUUAACCUUGACAGCCAGAGGCUCUCCAGGCUCACCAACCUGGACAAACUGGUCAACCUACGCUGGGCCUCCUUCAAUGACAACAACAUCUCUAAAGUGGAGGGUCUGGACAACUGCCAGCAUCUAGAGGAGCUGUCCCUCAACGACAACUGCAUCUCUAGGCUCGACGGUGUUUCCAAACUGCACCAGCUCACUAAGCUCAGUGUGAAUGGGAACCAGCUGUCCUGUCUGGAUGGCACUGUCCUGGACCGGAUGCCCAACCUCCACUUCUUGUCUGUGGAGAACAACUGCAUUGGCUCCCUGAACGGGGUGCAUAGGGCCCGCUCACUAUUCGAGCUGUACAUAGGCAACAACAUCAUCACCUCCACACGAGACAUCUACCACCUAAAGGCUUUGACAAACUUAAUCAUUCUGGAUCUGUAUGGUAAUCCUUUAGUGGAGAAACUGGAAAACUACAGGAUUUAUGUGGUGUUCCAUCUACCCUCUCUAAAGGCACUGGAUGGGGUUGCAGUGGAAAUGACGGAGUGUGAGAACGCCAAGGAUGUGUUUGGUGGACGCCUGACCCCUGACAUGGUGGCAGAGAAACUAGGACACUCCAACUACUCCGACGUCGUUGAUCUCAACCUGCAGUCCAGUGCUAUCAGUAUGGUGGACCUGGCCCCAGCAGACCUGUUCCACAACAUGCGCAGUGUCAACCUGGAGCACAACAACCUCACCUCCUUCAGUGGCCUUGUCUACCUGCCCAACAUCAAGGCACUAUGUUUGAACUAUAACCACAUAGAAUCCAUCCUGCCCAGGCAGAAGGCCCAGGCCCCCCUGACUAACAGACAGAUUCUCUAUCACAAGGUGAACUCCAGUGGCUAUGGCCAGCAGGGCUCAUCAAAAGGCAGCAGGGAAGUGGGUCCUGUGGACAGCCUAGAGCCACUAAUGAGCAGCCUGGAGGUGCUGCAUUUGAGCCACAAUGGCAUCUCAAAUAUGGCCAAUCUGCAGCUCAGCAGGCUCACAAAUCUCAAAGCACUCUUCCUCCAAGGUAAUGAGAUCAGCCAGGUGGAGGGCUUGGAGGGUCUGCAUCAGCUCCGGGAGCUGGUCUUGGACCGGAACCGGAUCAAGGCCCUGGGGGAGAACUCCUUUUUUGGUCAGGCUUUUCUGCUGGAGCUGCACCUGGCAGAGAACCGCCUACGGGAACUUUACCACCUCCAACACCUUACCGAGCUGAGGAGGCUGUUCCUGGGCAUGAACAAACUACAGGACAUCUCAGAGCUGGACAAGCUAGAAGUCCUUCCCUCCCUGAUUGAGCUGUCAGUUGUAGGGAAUCCUUUGGCCCGGCGAUCCCUCCAUAGGCCGGCAGUGGUACUACGCCUCUCCAGACUGCAGAUUCUGGAUGGGGUGAUGGUCACCCUGGAGGAGAGGACCAGGGCUGAGCUACUCUGCACAGAGGUCCAGUGCCCAAUGGCUCAUGGAUCCGGCAUGGAUAUGAACCUGCCUGGCCUGCUUCCCCUCAUGUCCCGGACUGCCCCUUUGCGGGGGACCAGUCUGAGUGGAGGACUGCAGCUGCAGCACUUCCUGGGUCAUGAGAUCCUGAUGCCCUGCAACUUGGAUGAAGCACUGCCCCAUGACACGCCCAAACACAAGAAGCAAAAACACAGCAGCGCUGCCCACCACGCCCGCAGUGCCCAGGCAGAGAUGACCUUCAGGCAGAUCAGAGGAAUGGCAAGUACCCUGCCAUCCACCGGCCUCCUUCCUAACGGGUACAGGGUCCUGAUUACCAACCUCGAGCAGGACAGCAGAUACCAGAGUGGUGGUGCUCCUAAACCCCCACCCAUUUAGCACCCCAGGGGUUUGGGCAGAGGAAUGGGAGACACUACUGUGGGCACGAGGAAGUAGAGAAAUGGGAGGAUCCUGAUACUCCUGUGUGGGUCAUUGCACACAUGCAGAUUCUGCCCGCUCUGCCUCUGGUCCCUGUCUCCUGUCCCACGUCUCGUCAUCCUGCUCCUCUGUCCUGGAUUCCACACUCUACUACCCCCUUGGAUUCCCCUCCGGACCUGCUUACCCUGUCUCAACCCCUCUCACUCCAGCCUCAGUCUCCGCACCUGGUUUCCAGCAACCCGCCCGAGCUUCCCUGACCUGCACUCCAUCUACCCCUGGCGUUCAAUAAAUACCUUGGUUACUUCAUCCAAGUCUCCUCGUCUGAGUGUGCUCUUGGGUUCCCCUGUUUCAUCCCGCGUAACAGGAGGCCGAUGCUUCGGAUGUCAGAGUGGGAGCUGUCCUGUCCCAGUGUUCUGCCCUGGACCUCAAGUUACAUCCCUGCGCCUUCUUCUCACAUUUUCUCAAUGCCACGGAGAGGAACUACGAUGUAGGGAAUCAUGAGCUUCUUGCAGUGAAGUUGGCGUUGGAGGAGUGGAGGCACUGGCUGGAGGGGGCGGAACAUCCAUCCAUUGUGUGGACCAAUCACAAGACCCUGGAAAGUCUUCGCACCACCAAGCGUCUCAAUUCCAGGCAAGCUAGGGGGGCCCUGCUUUUCACCCGGUUCAACUUCUCCCUCUCAUACCGACCGGGAUCCAAGAAUGUCACGCUAGAUGCACUCUCAUGCCUAUAUAGCCCCACGGCUACAAUCACGGAACCUGAGACCAUCCUUCCCACCUCGUGCCUGGCUCACAGCACUCAGCUGGGGAAUAGGGAAGCAGGUUCAAGAGAUGCUGUGUUCCCAGCCAAACACUGGGGAGGUAACCAGAUGUUUGUUCCUGACACGGUCCGCUCCUCAGUCCCGGAAUGAGCCCACUCCCCCAGGCUUGCCUGCCAACCGGGCUCCCGUCGGACCCUGGCAUUUGUGAGACAACGCUUUUGGUGGCCUACCAUGAUUCCUGAUGUCUCUGCGUUCAUCGCCACAUGCACGAAAGAGUGCAAUGCGUACACACUGAACCAUGCUCAAUUCUCCGGCGCUGGUCCAGCCAGCCUUCCAGAAGCUUUGCCUUCACACCACCUGGAACCAGGAACAGAUACAGCCCUUGGUUCACAAACCUCCAAACAAGCUUCAAUGCCAUACAACACUCCUUCUGUGGCCUCCAACUGCUUUUAAAUGCU